GACGAACGCUGGCGGCGUGCUUAACACAUGCAAGUCGAACGGAAAGGCCUUUUCGGAGGUACUCGAGUGGCGAACGGGUGAGUAACACGUGGGUGAUCUGCCCUGCACUCUGGGAUAAGCCUGGGAAACUGGGUCUAAUACCGGAUAGGACCGCACUUUAGUGUGUGUGGUGGAAAGUUUUUUCGGUGUAGGAUGAGCCCGCGGCCUAUCAGCUUGUUGGUGGGGUAAUGGCCUACCAAGGCGGCGACGGGUAGCCGGACUGAGAGGUUGGUCGGCCACAUUGGGACUGAGAUACGGCCCAGACUCCUACGGGAGGCAGCAGUGGGGAAUAUUGCACAAUGGGCGCAAGCCUGAUGCAGCGACGCCGCGUGGGGGAUGACGGCCUUCGGGUUGUAAACUCCUUUCGCCAGGGACGAAGCGUUUUGUGACGGUACCUGGAGAAGAAGCACCGGCUAACUACGU
rnacentral:rRNA from 1 species